rnacentral:rRNA from 1 species
CGUGUAGGCGGUUUGGUAAGUUGGAUGUGAAAGCUCCUGGCUUAACUGGGAGAGGUCGUUCAAUACUGCCAAGCUUGAGGAUGGUAGAGGGAGGUGGAAUUCCGAGUGUAGUGGUGAAAUGCGUAGAUAUUCGGAGGAACACCAGUGGCGAAAGCGGCCUCCUGGACCAUUUCUGACGCUCAGACGCGAAAGCUAGGGUAGCAAACG